UGUAAAUGAUGACAUCGCUUUUUUCCCCGU
rnacentral:piRNA from 1 species